UCCCUCGCCAACUUCCUCUUGCCGGUUUCCGUCUUCCCCUCGGGUGCCAGCUAUUCCCUCUAAUUUUUGAAAUGACACUUCCUUGUGAGGGGUUCCCCCCCUCACUGAUCUUAAAAGCUAUGCAGGUUUACUGGAUGAAAAAGUCUAAGAGGAAAGUAAACAAUCCGCCACGGGUUCGCUCAAGAUAAGAUCAUUCACUCUGAGAGAAGCCAGCUGCGGGUCGUGAGGACAUUUAAGCUGCUGUAUGGGGAGAGUCACGUGGUAUAGAUUCCCUGCCAUACCUCCCACUGUCUUAGCAGUGGCUGCUUCUGGAGAACCCAUCCCAUGACAGUUGGAACAGGGAGGGGUCCACGAAAGCAGAAAGGAAUGCAUGCUCAUUAUGUGAAACUUGAAAAUAGAAAAAGGUAAACGUAACGGGGAAAAAAUCACCCGACUGGCCUCUGCUUCUCUAGUCCACCUGGCAAGUUACAUCUCUUCUGUUCCAGAGAGCACCCAUAAUGAGCCUGAAAUCUCUAGGCCCCAAGAUCCACCUUCUCGAGAAUGAUCGAUGGUAUGAUGUAUAUUUCCAUCAGGGGAAAACCCAUCUCCCAGAAAGGCAAUCACGUGGAAGUUAGCAUUAGCGCAUCCCCCCAGUGUCCACAGUACUCAUCAGUUCUGAGCGGCUGUGCAGUGGACAUGGACAGGCCAGUCCAACCGGGUUGCCCCGGCCAGUGCUGCUCCUUCUCCUCCCCUCAUCCGGGCUUCAAAAAACUCAUUUCAGCCAAGAUCAUCUUGUUACAUACAAUUAUUUUUUUUUUUACUUAUGUCCUAAGCAUUCUCCCACGACUUAACACCUCUUCCACAUUCUAAUCGCUAUGUUCCAUUCCAACACAUGACUGUCGUGUAUACUUUAUUUCACAAAUCCUUUGUUUUUGGACAUCCUUGUUGGUUCGGAUCAACUCCAGAAACAAACGGACAGCUGCGUGCUUCAACAUCUAUUUGCACUCCUGACUUUCUGUGGGGUGAAUUUCUUAGUGACUGAUAUCACCCAUUUCACCCAUUUCACCAGAUUGGGGGAUACGAUGACGCCAUGGGGGUUUUUAACUGCUCAAACCACAAUGCUUCUAAGAUUGCUCUGGCUCAAACUGGUGGGAGUUCUGGUCUUUCUCCUCGGUUUUCCCUCCUCAAAGAGCUGUGCUACACGGCUGAACCUUGGCCUGGCUCCCG